CCACCAAUGAUAGACUAAAUCAAGAAAACGUG
rnacentral:piRNA from 1 species